GAUGAACGCUAGCUACAGGCUUAACACAUGCAAGUCGAGGGGCAGCAUGAUUGAAGCUUGCUUCAAUCGAUGGCGACCGGCGCACGGGUGAGUAACACGUAUCCAACCUGCCGAUAACUCGGGGAUAGCCUUUCGAAAGAAAGAUUAAUACCCGAUAGUAUAGUAUUUCCGCAUGGUUUCACUAUUAAAGAACUUCGGUUAUCGAUGGGGAUGCGUUCCAUUAGAUAGUUGGCGGGGUAACGGCCCACCAAGUCAACGAUGGAUAGGGGUUCUGAGAGGAAGGUACACCACAUUGGAACCGAGACACAGACCAAACUCCUACGGGAGGCAGCAGUGAGGAAUAUUAGUCAAUGGACGAGAGUCUGAACCAGCCAAGUAGCGUGAAGGAUGACUGCCCUAUGGGUUGUAAACUUCUUUUAUACGGGAAUAAAGUGGAGUAUGCAUACUCCUUUGUAUGUACCGUAUGAAUAAGGAUCGGCUAACUCCGUG
rnacentral:rRNA from 1 species